CUGAUUUGGGUGCAGCUACUUGGAGUGCGGCAGCCUUUUCAUUUACACGGAGUUCUCUUCCAUGUCACUUUACCAAUUCUUCAUGGAGGUAGUAACUGAUGAAAUUGGAUGGCUUGAUUUUUAUGGAAAUUGUUCUUUCACUAGCAAUUACGAAAGAAGGUCCAAGCAGCAUGCGAUUCAAGCAGAGAAAGAAAUCAUACUGUCAAAUGUUUUUACUGUUUGCUAUGAUGUUUUUUCUGGGUUUGCGCACUUCAGCCGCUUGGCUCAGCACCCUUAUAUUCUCAAUUGUUAGCAUUCUUGCUCCAGAGCCAAAGGCUGUUAUCUUUAUGCCUGGAAGAUUACUGGGCUGCUUAUGAUAGAUUGGGGUAAGUUGGUUGUUUCAUAUGGCAUUUCCAUGGUGUUUUCCGCAGUAGAACGAGCUUUGCACUAAAGAGUACAUUAUUGAGCUAAUAUUGAAUUAUCUAGCAGGGAACUGUUAAAGAUUACAGACUCGGGUGCCUCUAAGCAUGGACCAUCUA